CAGCAGCGACAGCAACAUCGCCAGCUGCCGUCAGCACCACCACCACAACUCUGGUGCAUGCUACAAUGAAACCCGCACGCAGUGGAAAAUGCUUGGUUACGUUCAGUACCUAUGAGGACCGCCAAGAAGCUCUAAAACGUACAACGAUGAUGGAUGACCCAACGACGUAUCGUGCAAAGGGCACCAAACCGCCAAGUAAAAUUGAGACAGUGGAAAA